rnacentral:rRNA from 1 species
UACGUAGGGUGCGAGCGUUGUCCGGAAUUAUUGGGCGUAAAGGGCUCGUAGGCGGUUUGUCGCGUCGGGAGUGAAAACCAUGGGCUUAACUCAUGGCUUGCUUUCGAUACGGGCAGACUAGAGGUAUGUAGGGGAGAACGGAAUUCCUGGUGUAGCGGUGAAAUGCGCAGAUAUCAGGAGGAACACCGGUGGCGAAGGCGGUUCUCUGGGCAUGAUCUGACGCUGAGGAGCGAAAGUGUGGGAAGCGAACAGG